ensembl:lncRNA
AUGGAGAUCUACUCAUCAACUGCAUGUGUAGUGACAAUCUUGUUCAUUUUUGCUACAUUCUCUGCACAAGGAAUUUGGCAUCAUGACAGAAGGAGCCACAAUGCAGGUUUCAGUGGACAGAUGGAAGGCAGCCAUCAUCUGCACUUUUGUGGAAAUGUGUCGUACAAGAUCUCAGAAAGUUCCUGCUGUAAUGGUAAUGUAACUAACGGAUUAAGCCAGCUGGUGGCUGACUGCUGUGAUUCUGUAGCUUACAAUCCCCUUAAUGAGAUUUGCUGUGAUGGCAGGAUUCUGACUAGAAGCAGCACUCACGCAAAAUGCUGUGGCAAAGUCAUGUACCUGACAACGACUCAUUUGUGUUGUGGUGGCAACAACAUAUUUCAAUGGAAGGAAAAUCAUUUUUGUUGUGGCAAGGAAACGUAUGACAUGACAACCCACUGCUGCUGUACUAACCUUACACUAGAAGUAAAGCCAAAAAAUGAAACUUGCUGUCCAAAAGUAACAGGCACUGAUAAAAGAACAGGAUGCCAGCAAGGCUCUCUUCCCACCCGACUGAAAAUCUCAAGCACACUCUCCAAAAACUUAGAAUCAAAGUGUGGAUCAAAACCCUACAAUCCCAAGAACAAAAUUUGUUGCUCAGGGAAUCUGUAUAAGAAGGCUUCAGCACUUACUAAGUGCUGUGGCAAAGAUGUUUACACUCUGUCAGAUGACAAUGUGCUGUGCUGUAAUGGAAUCCUUCAUCUCAAUGUGCCUGAGCAGUCAGAGUGUGUUGGAGGUGUUAUAUAUGCUCCCCCAAACACUAUUUGCCAAAUGUCUGCUCGUCCCCGUCUUGGUGAGCACUGCUGUGGAGGACAAACCUUCAAUCCUCGCACACAUAUUUGCUGUAACGGACACAGUCACAACAAGAUGAAUGGCAAUUACUGUUGUGGUUCAGAAGUCUAUGACCACCACAACCAGUUGUUGAGAUGCUGCUCAGGUCAUCUCUACAACCUAACACGUUUAAGUGGGGAAGCAGAGUGCUGUGGAAACCAUCUGCUGGAAUAUAAUAACAAUCAAAUUUGUUGUUCCUCCUCAACCAAUGCUAUAAUUUAUGACACCAAACCAAACCACCGUUGCUGUGGGCAUUACUACUACAACACAUCCCUGUGGAGCUGCUGUGCUGAACAUCUCAAACCAACACCAAAGCCUGACAGCUCUCCUGCAGAAUACAGGCUUAAACCACUAAUGGACCUGAUCCCUGAAAUGUGCAAUAAAACAGUGUUCUUUGGCAAAGUGGAGAGUUUGGCACUUGAAAAUGAUCAGCGUCAUGUGGUGUUGAAAGUUGUGUGGCAGGUCAACAUGAAAUCAGAAAAGGUCAUCAAAGACCCAUGGCUUCAUGUGUCCCUGGAUCACUGCAGCUCUCCUGCCACAGAGAGCGGCAUGACCUACCUUUGGGAGGAAAACCAUGAUAGGAAGUACAAGCUUCUCUCUCACCCUGUUGACCUAACCUCUGACAUGCAACUGUUAUAUGCUGUAUGUUACCAUAAAAAGGGAUAAAAAUAUGGAUUGAGGUCUACAAUAUUUCCCAUAAUUUUGAAGCAAAUUCAUGCAGGUUGUCAUAAGAUUUUUGUCCUGAAGAGAAUUUGUAUCCAUCAUUAAUGCUAAAUGACCCUUAAGACAAGUUUACCCUUUUAAGAGAAGUCUGUUACUGUACGCAGCAUUAUGGCAGAUGCCUCACAUGUUGUAUAUCUGUGCUUUUUUGCCUCACUGGAUAUUUUUAAUUAAUCUCAAUAAUAUAUCGAUCCUGUUGGGAGUGAUGCAUCUAUUUAUUCAGUCAGGUAAAUUUUAAGGUUUGUUAAUAUACAAAUUUUAAAAAGAGAAAUGGAAUCAGUUAUUGAGUUCUCUUAAAAGUAAUUUUUUUACAAAAGAAAUUAAUGGCUUUUAUCCUAAUCCUUGAAGACAGAGGUUAUUUCAUAUGUUUUUUUUAUAUUUUAAGAUGUUAAUAUAACAACAGCUCAAAUAUAAGCUUGAUGUAGCUAUGCAUUUAUUUUUAUUAUUAUUAUUAUUUUUCAUUUAAUUGUUGUUGUUAUUUUUUUUUUUUUUUUUUUACCAAUUUACAGGUUUGUUACUACUUGUCGAACAGUAAUCCUCAUUCAUUAAAUUUGACCUGAAAUGUAUUCUAAAUUUACUUAAUUUAGACUUAAAUUAAUAGACUUAAUUUAGAGACAAUCAUACAACAAGAUGUUAAGUGUUAAGAUGAAAUGUCCCUUAUCUGUCUGUCUCAUCUCAUCUGUCUGUCUAAUACAUGUAGUGGUUUGGGAGUUUUAAACUUCUCCAAACUCUUACAUAGUGUUCAGUUUCCAUGUCUCCUCUAUACAACUUUGAACACACCUUUCAUGUUAAAUGUUGUGUGAAGAAAGUUUACUUGUUCAAGUUGUAUUAUGGUAUNAUAUGCUUGAUGUAGCUAUGCAUUUAUUUUUAAUAUUAUUUCUUUCAUUGAAUUGGCUAUAUAUUAAUAGUCUGUUAUUUCUAAAUAAAAAAUUUUAAGCAGCACA